rnacentral:lncRNA from 1 species
CUAUCUCGAGAUCAUGCCAAGGAUGAGCUGCAACUGAUCUCCGUGUCAUGGAAGAAAGUAUUCUUUCAUUAAGAGGUGGAAUGGAGGACUUGUGGGACACUGAAGCUUUGGCUGGAGUUUCGAUAGGUGGAACCAUUUUUGCUAGCUGGACAUAGGACUUCUGGGACACUGAAGCUUUGGCUGGAGUUUCAAUAGGUGGAACCAUUUUUGCUAGCUGGACAUCAAGGUAUUAGUAGCACAUAAGAAUCUCUAUAGGUAUGGCGAAAGCAAAUGCUUAACUUUUCAAGCAGAGCAAUCGAACAACAUUCUCCAACAAAAACAACAGGGAAGAAAUAUAUGUAUAUUUAUAGAUCCAG